GCCCCCUCGGCGGGCGCCUAGCGCCUAGCCCGAUUUGUCAAAAAUUUCCUUGUGAUUCUUUAUGUUAUCGGCUUGAUCUUGCCUCUUCUGUUGCCUGCGUCAAUUCUGGUCAAGCAUGGAAUUGAAAAUUAUCGUUGAUGUUGUCUGCUAAAGAACAAAUAACAUGUGAAGAUCACCUGUUAGACCCUUUUGUUGAGAAUUUCAUACUGGAAAUCAAAGUCCACUUCCGAUGCAGCAUAUUGAGCUUAUGCACAUGUGCUAUGCUCUGGAUUCAGAUGUUCUUGCGGUUGGAGUGAUGAAGGACUAUGACUGGUGAAGUUUCAUGUUUUCCUUUGAAAUAUAAUGAUGGUGAAUGUCAUAAGUUCGCUUUUAAAUAUGGAUGAUCUUUCUCUCAAUUUGGCUCAUUGCGCCUCACCUUGGAGCUAUUCUGAAUCACAUUACACAUGUGCUUCGGAGCAAACUGAUCUAACACAUGAAGAGGGAAACAAAUUAGUUGUAUCUUUCACGAGGAACUACCUGAUAUAUUGCAUCGUUGUCUUCCUUCAUCUAUAAGUUUAUAACUGAACCAGAUCAAUUGGUUCUUGUGC